rnacentral:rRNA from 1 species
GACGAACGCUGGCGGCGUGCUUAACACAUGCAAGUCGAACGGAAAGGCCCUGCUUUUGUGGGGUGCUCGAGUGGCGAACGGGUGAGUAACAAGUGAGUAACCUGCCCUUGACUUUGGGAUAACUUCAGGAAACUGGGGCUAAUACCGGAUAGGAGCUCCUGCUGCAUGGUGGGGGUUGGAAAGGUUCGGCGGUUGGGGAUGGACUCGCGGCUUAUCAGCUUGUUGGUGGGGUAGUGGCGUACCAAGGCUUUGACGGGUAGCCGGCCUGAGAGGGUGACCGGCCACAUUGGGACUGAGAUACGGCCCAGACUCCUACGGGAGGCAGCAGUGGGGAAUAUUGCACAAUGGGCGGAAGCCUGAUGCAGCACCGCCGCGUGCGGGAUGACGGCCUUCGGGUUGUAAACCGCUUUCGCCUGUGACGAAGCGUGAGUGACGGUAAUGGGUAAAGAAGCACCGGCUAACUACGUG